rnacentral:misc_RNA from 1 species
GGCGCUUUCGCCGAGGUGUCGAACUUCGUGGUCACGCCGAGAAAGGCCUCCGCAGCGUCGCGGUACUUCUGCCGCUGGGACAGGCUCUCGCCGAGCCAGUACUGCGAAUCCGGCAGCNNNUAUUUCUGUGCGAAGUUGCGCAUCGUCUCUUCGGCAAGCGCAUAGUCCUUGCGCUGGAUAUAGCCGAUGCCGAGAUCGAAUUCGUCGCGCGGUGUCGCGGAUGGCGGCAAGGUGGUC